CGUGUAGGCGGGUCUGUAAGUCAGAUGUGAAAUGCCGCAGCUUAACUGCGGAGCUGCAUUUGAAACUGCGGAUCUUGAGUGAUGGAGAGGUAAACGGAUUCCCGGUGUAGCGGUGAAAUGCGUAGAGAUCGGGAGGAACACCAGUGGCGAAGGCGGUUUACUGGGACAUUAACUGACGCUGAGGCGCGAAAGCGUGGGGAGCAAACAGGAUUAGAUACCCUGGUAGUCCACGCUGUAAACGAUGGAUACUAGGUGGUGGGGGGACUGACCCCUUCCGUGCCGGAGUUAACACAAUAAGUAUCCCACCUGGGGAGUACGGUCGCAAGAUUAAA
rnacentral:rRNA from 1 species